rnacentral:rRNA from 1 species
GUGGGGGAUAUUGCACAAUGGGGGAAACCCUGAUGCAGCAACGCCGCGUGAGGGAUGAAGGUUUUCGGAUUGUAAACCUCUGUCCUUAGUGAAGAAACAAAUGACGGUAACUAAGGAGGAAGCUCCGGCUAACUACGUGCCAGCAGCCGCGGUAAUACGUAGGGAGCGAGCGUUGUCCGGAUUUAUUGGGUGUAAAGGGUGCGUAGGCGGCUAUGUAAGUCAGACGUGUAAUGCAGGGGCUUAACCUCUGAACUGCGUUUGAAACUGUGUAGCUUGAGUGGAGUAGAGGCAGAUGGAAUUUCCAGUGUAGCGGUGAAAUGCGUAGAUAUUGGAAGGAACACCAGUGGCGAAGGCGAUCUGCUGGGCUCUAACUGACGCUGAGGCACGAAAGCAUGGGGAGCAAACAGG